rnacentral:rRNA from 1 species
CGCACGGGUGCGUAACGCGUGGGAAUCUGCCCCCUUGGUUCGGAAUAACAGUUAGAAAUGACUGCUAAUACCGGAUGAUGUCUUCGGACCAAAGAUUUAUCGCCAAGGGAUGAGCCCGCGUAGGAUUAGCUAGUUGGUGAGGUAAAAGCUCACCAAGGCGACGAUCCUUAGCUGGUCUGAGAGGAUGAUCAGCCACACUGGGACUGAGACACGGCCCAG